rnacentral:lncRNA from 1 species
UGGAAGGCUGAUCUUCACUAGGGCUGGAUGCAGCCCUAACAAAGGGACAUGGGUUUUAUAUUUUUAAUUUUAUAUUCUUGGAGUUGUAUGAACUUAUUGUUUUUAAUGAAUAUCUUCUUUUAUUUCAUGUUUAAUUUCUGUGAUUUUAAAUAUGAAGUUUAUACAACUAUUCUUCAUGAUCAUUGAAGUAAAAAUAAGAUAGUCCAUGCUUAAGGAAGAUGCGAUGUGCUGCCACCUUAGAUUAGGGUAGACAUUUCAUGCCAACUGAAGAUGGAUUAUGCCUAAAUUACUUUUGUGAGAUUUUAUUCAAAUGCUUAUUAGGCUUGUA